GACUCUCUGCUCUGUUACUGACGCUGAGGAGCGAAAGCGUGGGGAGCGAACAGGAUUAUAUACCCUGGUACUCCACGCCCUAAACGAUGAGUGCUAGAUGUUGGGUGGUUUCCGCCCCUCAGUGCUGCAGCUAACGCAUUAAGCACUCCGCCUGGGGAGUACGGUCGCAAGACUGAAACUCAAAGGAAUUGACGGGGGCCCGCA
rnacentral:rRNA from 1 species